rnacentral:rRNA from 1 species
AUUGAACGCUGGCGGCAUGCUUUACACAUGCAAGUCGAACGGUAACAGGGAGCUUGCUCCGCUGACGAGUGGCGAACGGGUGAGUAAUAUAUCGGAACGUACCCAAGAGUGGGGGAUAACGUAGCGAAAGUUACGCUAAUACCGCAUACGAUCUACGGAUGAAAGUGGGGGAUCGCAAGACCUUAUGCUCCUGGAGCGGCCGAUAUCUGAUUAGCUAGUUGGUGAGGUAAAGGCUCACCAAGGCGACGAUCAGUAGCUGGUCUGAGAGGACGACCAGCCACACUGGGACUGAGACACGGUCCAGACUCCUACGGGAGGCAGCAGUGGGGAAUUUUGGACAAUGGGCGCAAGCCUGAUCCAGCGAUGCCGCGUGAGUGAAGAAGGCCUUCGGGUUGUAAAGCUCUUUUGUCAGGGAAGAAACGGGAGUGGCUAAUAUCCAUUCCUAAUGACGGUACCUGAAGAAUAAGCACCGGCUAACUACGUGCCAGCCGCCGCCGUAA